GCAGUCGUGGCCGAGUGGUUAAGGCGAUGGACUAGAAAUCCCUGCACAGGUUCGAAUCCUGUCGACUGUG
rfam:Ixodes scapularis strain Wikel colony gcontig_1108379151368, whole genome shotgun sequence.